rnacentral:rRNA from 1 species
UAGGGAAUAUUGCGCAAUGGUCGAAAGACUGACGCAGCGACGCCGCGUGUGGGAGGAAGCCUUUCGGGGUGUAAACCACUGUCAGGUGGGACGAACAACGCAUGUCCAAACAGGGCAUGCGCAUGACGGUACCAUCAGAGGAAGCGCCGGCUAACUCCGUGCCAGCAGCCGCGGUAAGACGGAGGGCGCAAGCGUUGUUCGGAAUUACUGGGCGUAAAGCGCGGGCAGGUGGUUCGUUAAGUCUUUUGUGAAACUCCGGGGCUCAACUCCGGACAUGCAGAAGAUACUGGCAGACUAGAGACCGGUAGAGGCUAGUGGAAUUCCUGGUGUAGCGGUGGAAUGUGUAGAUAUCAGGAAGAACACCGGUGGCGAAGGCGGCUAGCUGGGCCGAGUCUGACACUCAUCCGCGAAAGCGUGGGGAGCAAACAGG